GCGCCCUUCCAGUGCUGUGGGGAAAACACCAGAUACGCUGUUCCAAGGCAGCUGACCACCAGUCCAGCGGCUGAGACAUAUCCACAGAAUACAAGACUCCUAAUACAAAUUACGGUGGGAACCAGCUACCUAGGAAGAUGAGUGAUGGGAAGGACGGUGAAGAAGGUGCUACUGCUGCGGGCACGCCUGGAAAACAAGGACCUCUUGCAAACCAGCUACCUAGGAUGAUGAGCGCUGAUGGAAUGGACGGUGACGAAGGUGCUGCUGCUGUGCAAGAAACUACCUCCCCCCCAUAAAAAGCUGAGGAUCCUGCUGUCCAGCGACCUUCACCACCAUUCCAUCAUUUAAUUUGGAAUGAAUUUCACCAAGUUUAGCUUGCUGUUGCUACAGAUUUUCCCAAAUGACAAAAGCAAUCCUUUCAAAACACACCACCUGCCUGUUUUUCUCUGUAUCUUUAUAUUUGCAUAUUGUUUGAUUUUUGAAUCAGUGUGACAAUCGCCCUCGUCACUUUCAUACUCAUGAGCUGAUUUGCAGGAACCUAUGAGAGGACUGGAAAGGUGGAGUCAGCAGCUACAUGCGGUUUGGCGGGAGAAAGAGUCAGAUAGAGAUUGGGAUGAGAUCCAAAUAGUGAUAGGGGCUGGUUAAUCAGAGAGGGGGGGGACAGAUACUGAGAGAGACAGAGCUGAUUAGGAAAAUAGGGAGAGAAGGUGGCAAUGAUACAGAUAGA